GAUGAACGCUGGCGGCGUGCCUAAUACAUGCAAGUCGAGCGAACAGAUAAGGAGCUUGCUCCUUUGACGUUAGCGGCGGACGGGUGAGUAACACGUGGGUAACCUACCUAUAAGACUGGGAUAACUUCGGGAAACCGGAGCUAAUACCGGAUAACAUUUGGAACCGCAUGGUUCUAAAGUGAAAGAUGGUUUUGCUAUCACUUAUAGAUGGACCCGCGCCGUAUUAGCUAGUUGGUAAGGUAACGGCUUACCAAGGCAACGAUACGUAGCCGACCUGAGAGGGUGAUCGGCCACACUGGAACUGAGACACGGUCCAGAGUACUACGGGAGGGAGCAGUAGGGAAUCUUCCGCAAUGGGCGAAAGCCUGACGGAGCAACGCCGCGUGAGUAAUGAAGGGUUUCGGAUCGUAAAACUCUGUUAUUAGGGAAGAACAAACGUGUAAGUAACUGUGCACGUCUUGACGGUACCUAAUCAGAAAGCCACGGCUAACUACGUG
rnacentral:rRNA from 1 species